AGCCUGGUCCCUGACCGCGUGCCUGUUGAAGAAUGAGCCGGCGACUCAUAGGCAGUGGCUUGGUUAAGGGAACCCACUGGAGCCGUAGCGAAAGCGAGUCUUCAUAGGGCAAUUGUCACUGCUUAUGGACCCGAAACUGGAGAUAGGAAGAGCA